GGCUUCCUGCGGAAUGUGGUGUCGGGCGAGCACUACCGCUUUGUGAGCAUGUGGAUGGCGCGGACGUCCUACCUGGCCGCCUUCGCCAUCAUGGUCAUCUUCACGCUGAGCGUGUCCAUGCUGCUGCGGUACUCACACCACCAGAUCUUCGUCUUCAUCGCGCCCCUGCUGACCGUCAUCCUGGCCCUCGUCGGGAUGGAGGCCAUCAUGUCGGAGUUCUUCAACGACACCACCACCGCCUUCUACAUCAUCCUCAUCGUGUGGCUCGCGGACCAGUAUGACGCCAUCUGCUGCCACACCAGCACCAGCAAGCGGCAUUGGCUGCGGUUCUUCUAUCUCUACCACUUCGCCUUCUAUGCCUAUCACUACCGCUUCAAUGGGCAGUAUAGCAGCCUGGCCCUGGUCACCUCCUGGCUCUUCAUCCAGCAUUCCAUGAUCUACUUCUUCCACCACUACGAGCUGCCUGCCAUCCUGCAGCAGGUCCGCAUCCAGGAGAUGCUGCUUCAGGCGCCGCCACUGGGCCCCGGGACCCCCACGGCGCUGCCCGAUGACAUGAACAACAACUCGGGCGCCCCGGCUACAGCCCCUGACUCUGCCGGCCAGCCCCCCGCCCUGGGCCCCGUCUCG
rnacentral:lncRNA from 1 species